rnacentral:rRNA from 1 species
UACGUAGGGGGCUAGACGUUGUCCGGAUUUAUUGGGCGUAAAGAGCUCGUAGGCGGUUUGUCGCGUCUGCUGUGAAAACUCGGGGCUCAACUCCGAGCUUGCAGUGGGUACGGGCAGACUAGAGUGUGGUAGGGGAGACUGGAAUUCCUGGUGUAGCGUGAAAUGCGCAGAUAUCAGGAGGAACACCGGUGGCGAAGGCGGGUCUCUGGGCCGAUACUGACGCUGAGGAGCGAAAGCGUGGGGAGCGAACAGG